AUUGAACGCUGGCGGCAGGCCUAACACAUGCAAGUCGAGCGAGCGGCGGACGGGUGAGUAAUGUCUGGGAAACUGCCUGAUGGAGGGGGAUAACUACUGGAAACGGUAGCUAAUACCGCAUACCAUCAGAUGUGCCCAGAUGGGAUUAGCGAGUAGGUGGGGUAAUGGCUCACCUGGGCGCCGUUCCCUAGCUGGUCUGAGAGGAUGACGAGCCAAACUGGAACUGAGACACGGUCCAGACUCCUACGGAAGGCAGCAGUGGGGAAGAUUGGACAAUGGGCGAAAGCCUGAGGCAGCAAUGCCGCGGGUAUGAAGAAGGCCUUCGGGUUGUAAAGUACUUUCAGCGGGGAGGCGUUACCCGAAGAAGAAGCACCGGCUAACUCCGUGCCAGCAGCCGCGGUAAUUC
rnacentral:rRNA from 1 species